rnacentral:piRNA from 1 species
UAAUAGACGGAAGUGGUGCUCUUUUUGGCA